rnacentral:rRNA from 1 species
GACGACCGCUGGCGGCGUGCCUAAUACAUGCCAGUAGAACGCAGUUGCGACCGGGUGAGUAACGCGUAGGUAACUACCUAUUAGAGGGGGAUAACUAUUGGAAACGAUAGCUAAUACCGCAUACUAGUAGCUGGACCUGCGUUGUAUUAGCUAGGAGGUAGGGUAAUGGCCUACCUAGGCAACGAUACAUAUCCGAACUGAGAGGGGGAUCGGCCACACGGGGACUGAGACACGGCCCAGACUCCUACGGGAGGCAGCAGGAGGGAAUCGUCGGAAAUGGGGGGAACCCUGACCGAGCAACGCCGCGGGAGUGAAGAAGGUUUUCGGAUCGGAAAGCUCUGUUGUUAAGGAAGCGGUACUUAACCAGAAAGGGACGGCUAACUACGUGCCAGCAGCCGCGGUAAUUC